GACGAACGCUGGCGGCGUGCCUAACACAUGCAAGUCGAGCGGGGUUGAAGCGAGAGGUAACUCGAACUUCUACCUAGCGGCGGACGGGUGAGUAACGCGUGGGCAACCUGCCUCAAGGUCUGGGAUAACAGCCCGAAAGGGCUGCUAAUACCGGGUAUGCUUGUGGCCUCGCAUGGGGCUACGAGCAAAGGGGAAACCCGCCUUGAGAUGGGCCCGCGUCCCAUCAGCUAGUUGGUGAGGUAACAGCUCACCAAGGCGACGACGGGUAGCCGGCCUGAGAGGGUGACCGGCCACACUGGGACUGAGACACGGCCCAGACUCCUACGGGGGGCAGCAGUGGGGGAUCUUGCACAAUGGGCGAAAGCCUGAUGCAGCGACGCCGCGUGAGCGAAGAAGGCCUUCGGUUGUAAAGCUCUGUCUGGAGGGACGAAGGAAGUGACGGUACCUCCGGAGGAAGCCACGGCUAACUACGUGCCAGCAGCCGCGGUAACACGAGAGUA
rnacentral:rRNA from 1 species